UUAUCAGAAAAUAUCUCCUGUUAGAGGAGAGUCCCACGGAGUCCCAACUGAAAGUCAGUCCCAGAUGAAGCCAAAUGUUUAUUCACUCUUCCAGGGAGACUGGAUGCAGGAGAGGGAGUUUGAGGAAAUCAACAUCCUGGAGCACAGAACCUCUGUGAUCCAUCUGAGGCUCAGUGCAUACUGAAUCCCUGAUGGAGAAGACUGGCAUCUCUCCCCAAGUGACCCCGUGUGACCCCGUGGCUCAAACUGAUCGUGAAGGACUUGCUGAGCACCGGAAGGCAAAACAUUUACCAUGUGAGCCCUCAGCGUCUGCUCCAGCCGCCAUGUUUGCUGUUGCCGCCAUGCUUUUCCGCCAUGAUGGACUGGAACCCCUCUCUGGACUCAGAAGCCAAAGGAACCCUCCCGAAUGUGGAGGACUCUGGGACUUUGGACUAGCAAAGCAGUCGAACACUGUAAGUGAGGUUUAAUGGGCUUAAUCCUAGUAGGAACUUGGAACACAAUAGCACUGAGACCAACAUGGACAGUGGAGCCCCAGCUCAAGAGGUUUCAGAGGAGCUUACUGGCGAAGCUAGAAACCAUUGAGGUAUUUUGGCAACAAAUGUGGCUGCUUUUUGCCUUUGUCCUAACAAUCUGCCUGAGGCUAAAUUGAAAAGUAAUGGACUAACUUCCUUGGCAGAGGAGAUUUCCAGACAGCCUAAUGCUGGCUCUGUCUCAUGGUUAUUAGUAACCACUCCUGUGCAAGUGUAUAAUAAAAAAGAGCAUGUGGGACAAGAAGAAACACAAAAUGUACAGCUGGAAGAGAAAAAGAGCACCAGGAAAUGUCAUGUUGGAGCCCAGGCUUAUCCCAGAAGAGGUUGGAACAGUUCCUCCUGAGGGGAGAGGAAGGCUCCCGAAACUCACAAGAAAUGUACAUGGCUGAGGAGGCUCAUGAAGCUUGCCAGGCCCCUCCCCGAAACAGUAAAGAACUGUGACAAGGACUGUCUCCAGUGGGGUAUCUGCCUGCAUGCUGGGCAGGGAGCUCCAGGGAUGUCGCUUUAUGAAUCCCACACUGAGAUGAAUCCUUGCGGGGCGGCAGCUGCACACACACGUCACCCAGGCUCCUGUAAAUAUCUCCUCCCUUACGCUUGUGUAAGUUGUCCCGAUAAAGU